UACGUAGGGGGCAAGCGUUGUCCGGAAUUAUUGGGCGUAAAGAGCGCGUAGGCGGUCCGAUAAGUCGGCUGUGAAAGUCAGGGGCUCAACCCUUGAAAGCCGGCCGAUACUGUCGGACUAGAGUCCGGAAGAGGCAAGUGGAAUUCCCGGUGUAGCGGUGGAAAUGACGCAGAUAUCGGGAGGAACACCAAUGGCGAAGGCAGCUUGCUGGGACGGUACUGACGCUGAGGCGCGAAAGCGAUGGGGAGCAAACAGGGAUUAAGAAACCCUUG
rnacentral:rRNA from 1 species